GCAAAUCAACCUGACCUACCAUUUGAUGAAAACUAUGCACAGGAUGUAGACAGCGGCUGGGAUAAACAAAAAACAGGAAAGGAGGAGACUUUCACAUUCUGAUUUGUUAUUGAAAUGGACUUACUCUGCGUGGAAAUAUAACAGCCAGUGUGUGGCUACAUAUAUAAGAUGUAUAUACUGCUUUCUUCUUCACUGAGUUUAAAGAAGACACACGACUUUGAUGUUACUGAAGCUUGUGUCAUAAUCAUCAAAUGGAACUGGUGCCAGAUAAGACAGAUGGAGGUUUCAAUCAACAAACUGCAUUUAUUUUUGAUAUCUGUGACUUAUUUGUCAUCAAUGCAACUUUUAAUAGGACAAGGUAUCCUCCUCAAGGAAGAAAAAAAUCAGUUGGUGGCCUAG
rnacentral:lncRNA from 1 species